rnacentral:pre_miRNA from 1 species
UGGAUGAAGACAGAGAAGUGGAGUUUGAAACUAGCAUGUAUCAUUUUAGUGAGCAUGUACCUCCGACAAGGGAGAGCAAGAGUUUGAGUGAAGCUCACAUGAACAACAGCAAGCUGCAGAAGUGGUGCAAGAAACAUGAUAAGUUACUCGCCAAGUGCUUCAAGACUAUCAAGUUUCUGACAGAUAAGCUGAGCUGCUCCUCUUCCACAACAGCUAUCCCA